AUGUAUAUCAGACUUGAGAUUAGCGGCAACUGCCCUAAAAUUUUGAGUUUCCCUCUCCACUCUCAAACCGCAUAAACUCAAUUCCACCACUAGCGGCGUUUAUCUAACUUUCGGUGAUUAUUUGUGAUUCAAUCGCCGGAUUAUUCAAUCGCUAGUUACAAGUGGUUCAAUAGAAGCUAUUCAAUAAAUUUAAAGCUUUGUACAGGGUUUUGGUGAGUACCUGCUAUUGCUGAAAGGAUCUUGCAGUAGUUCGUGCAGAAGUAGAAUUUUUUAUGCCAUUAAGCUUCUAGGUGAAUGUAUUGACAUAUACAGUUCAAGCGACGAUGAUAAUGCCGUUACCACGUAUGUUGAUGAUUAAGGAUCAAACAUUCGCAUGCCUGUAUUCCUUUUAUGUUGUUUGAAGAUAGCAAACUAUUAUUGUGCUAAAAUGAAUUAAAAAAAAACAAAGUAAACCACAUCUGCCAUCUUGGCAUAGUGGUUGUUUGAUGCUGAUACAAUACACAAAGGGCUCGGGUUCGAGUCCCGUUCCUUACUUGUCGUCGCACAUUAUAACCUUUUUAUUAAAACCAGAACAUGAAACAACUUGGAUUCUAUACAUGUAUAAUUAAAAUCAUGAAAUGAACAGGUUAGACACAUAGCCCAAUUGGUCAGGCUGUGUGCACACGUAACGAAGGUCACGAGUUUGAUCCUUGAUAAGGCCGGUUUUUUGGCCUUUUUGGGGGUUUAAUUUUUAAAAUUCAUUUUAAAUAACAUUAGUUUAUUUCCUAUUCUGAAGUUUCACUUGUCUACUGAAGCUAGUAAGUGAAAAAAACAAGGCGAAUCAGGCAAAGAAGAAGAUGGUUCAAGUAACGGGUAAAAAAAGUUAUGCUCGAGUCCGUGAAGAGCUAAAGGCAUCUAAGGGACAAGAUCUAAGUCGAUUGGAAAUGUUUCGUGCAUGUUUCUCCAAAGAUGGAACUACCAAAAAUUUUGAAGCUUCAAAUGCAAUUGCACAUAUCCAACAACUUAGUUCUAAUCUUCCCGAGAGCUCGAUCGAUAAGCCUGGACCAGAUGAUUUUUUUUUCUAAAGUAAUGGGUAAUGAUCGAAAUGGUGAUGCGGUUAUGUAUGGUCUGGGUGUUUGUGCUGCUGAUGUUUGGGGUGUAAUACCAAGUCGUUCGGCAUGUCAUACAGAAAACAUCCAAUUGAAGUCUCAAUGUGAAGAACUUACUAGUACUGUGGUCCAAUUACGAGCCAAGUAUCAGAGAUGGAAGGGUCGAGGGGUGGUUCCAGUGUUCAACCUCUUGCAUCACAACAUUUCCCCAAUAUAACCAAUGGACAUCAACGUUUACGGGUCGGAGAUAAAGUUUUCCUCAAAAGCAUUCUAAACUCUAUCGAGACUGUAGCAAGAGGAAGGGUCCAGAGCUUGGACCCAAAUGAUCUAGUUGGUGGUACAGAGAUUGGACCAGAAUGGUGUGAGGUAAACGUUCAAGUACCAAUAAAAAAAGAUGAAAACUUGGUAAGACCAUAUGGUUUAUUUUCUACAAUUCAAGAUUGUAUUGGUGCAUCCAUCGCAUGGCCCUAUCAAUUCAUCUCGGUAGUCCAUGAGGAUUGAGGACGCAUGAUGACUCAAGAUUUUAUGCUUCUUAUUUCUUUAAUUGCUUUUAAUUUUUUUGUUAAAUGUUAAGACUUUAUGUUAGAUAAUGUUAUAACUUAUUUAUGAUUAAUAUUUUUGUUAUGAACAUGCUUAUUUGAAAUAUAAUGAUUCUUUCAUUAGUUGAUG